rnacentral:rRNA from 1 species
UACGGGGGGAGCAAGCGUUGUUCGGAUUUACUGGGCGUAAAGGGCGCGUAGGCGGUCAGCACAAGUCAGUUGUGAAAUCUCCGGGCUUAACUCGGAAAGGUCAACUGAUACUGUGCGACUAGAGUGCAGAAGGGGCAACUGGAAUUCUCGGUGUAGCGGUGAAAUGCGUAGAUAUCGAGAGGAACACCUGCGGCGAAGGCGGUUUGCUGGGCUGACACUGACGCUGAUGCGCGAAAGCCAGGGGAGCGAACGGG